GCAAGCCCACAAAGAACUUCGAACCUCUAUCGCUGUGUGCAGAUAGCCGGCCCAUGCUGAUUGCUGGAUCACCUGAUGGGUGUUUGGGGCUUCUGGAUGGGAAGCCAAGAGAAGCUAGGAUGAAUCACCCAAAACGGAUUACUGUAGAUCACAGAGGAAAUAUCUACAUUGCUUACACUCUAAAUAAAUACGGCCAUCAGGAAGAUCAGUGAUACAGGGGUUGUCACUAUUGUAGGAGGAAAGUGGAGCCGAGGAGGAGGUCAUGUUGACUGUCUGAGUGAAGAUGCAAAGUUCUCAGAUGAUUUUGAUGUGGUUUAUGUCGGAAGUAGCUGCUCUCUUUUGGUUGCAGACGGGAAACCAGGCAAUUCGAGAUAUCCAACUUCGUGAAGAUGAUUGUGUCUACCAUUACAACGGGAAUCAGCAUCUGGGGAUAACAGUACUUGUUGCAGCUGGGUUCUUUGGUUACAAAAUACCAGAAACCAAGGAAAGUAACCCUGUACUGGAUGCGUUAUACAUGCGGGAUUGUUGGAUUCUUGGUUUGUUCAAUUUGGGUCUUGAAGCAUAGUAGAUUGAUGGGAAGCUCUGACAUUGACAACUGGAUUCGUGAGGCAAAGGACUCGACUAUUAGCUUUUGGAAUGACCAUG